GAUGAACGCUAGCGGGAGGCUUAACACAUGCAAGUCGAGGGGCAGCAUAGAGUAGCAAUACUUUGAUGGCGACCGGCGCACGGGUGAGUAACACGUAUGCAACCUACCCUGUACAGGGGGAUAACCCGGAGAAAUUCGGACUAAUAUCCCAUAAUGAUAUUGAAGGGCAUCCUUUAAUAUUUAAAGCUCAGGCGGUACGGGAUGGGCAUGCGGAACAUUAGCUAGUUGGGAGGGUAACGGCCUACCAAGGCAACGAUGUUUAGGGGACCUGAGAGGGUGAUCCCCCACACUGGUACUGAGACACGGACCAGACUCCUACGGGAGGCAGCAGUGAGGAAUAUUGGUCAAUGGGCGCAAGCCUGAACCAGCCAUCCCGCGUGCAGGAAGACGGCCCUAUGGGUUGUAAACUGCUUUUCCAGGGGGAGAAUUUUUCUGUCGUGACAGGAAUUGACGGUACCCUGGGAAUAAGCAUCGGCUAACUCCGUGCCAGCAGCCGCGGUAAAACGUAG
rnacentral:rRNA from 1 species